GAUGAACGCUGGCGGCGUGCCUAAUACAUGCAAGUCGAGCGAACAGACGAGGAGCUUGCUCCUCUGACGUUAGCGGCGGACGGGUGAGUAACACGUGGAUAACCUACCUAUAAGACUGGGAUAACUUCGGGAAACCGGAGCUAAUACCGGAUAAUAUAUUGAACCGCAUGGUUCAAUAGUGAAAGACGGUUUUGCUGUCACUUAUAGAUGGAUCCGCGCCGCAUUAGCUAGUUGGUAAGGUAACGGCUUACCAAGGCAACGAUGCGUAGCCGACCUGAGAGGGUGAUCCGCCACACUGGAACUGAGACACGGUCCCGACUCCUACGGGAGGCCGCAGUAGGGAAUCUUUCGCAAAGGGCGAAAGCCUGACCGAGCCACGCCGCGUGGGUGAAGAAGGUCUUCGGGUUGUAAAACCCUUUUAUUAGGGAAGAACAAAUGUGUAAGUAACUAUGCACGUCUUGACGGUACCUAAUCAGAAAGCCACGGCUAACUACGUG
rnacentral:rRNA from 1 species